rnacentral:rRNA from 1 species
AUUGAACGCUGGCGGCAGGCUUAACACAUGCAAGUCGAGCGAGCGGCGGACGGGUGCGUAAUGUCUGGGAAACUGCCUGCUGGAGGGGGAUAACUACUGGAAACUGUAGCUAAUACCGCAUACCAUCAGAUGUGCCCAGAUGGGAUUAGAUAGUAGGUGGGGUAAUGGCGCACCUAGGCGACGCUCCCUAGCUGGUCUGAGAGGAUGACCAGCCAAACUGGGACUGAGACACGGUCCAGACUCCUACGGGAGGCAGCAGUGGGGAAUAUUGCACAAUGGGCGCAAGCCUGAUGCAGCCAUGCCGCGUGUGUGAAGAAGGCCUUCGGGUUGUAAAGCACUUUCAGCGAGGAGGCGUUACUCUCAGAAGAAGCACCGGCUAACUCCGUGCCAGCCGCCGCGGUAAUUC